AACACAUAAUGCCCUGGAUUUUUAUUUCAUUUAGUGACAGUUCAAAGGAUCCUUUAGUCUGUGUGGUGGAAGGGUCUACAAAAAAACCAACAGAACAGAUGAAGGUGGGCCAUUGGAAUGGGCAUUGGACUGGUACAGACAAAGAAAAACUACAAGUAGCCUUGUUCAGUACCAAAACUCUUCACAGAAGAGAGCGACGUCUUUUUUUAUUGUUUUUUUUUAAUAGGUUUUUUUCUUUUUUCCCAAAUGAAGGCACCCGAUAUAACUGUGGUUCAUUGGCCUUUUCGAAAGCCUUCUGGAGAGUUUUAAAAACAAGAGAAAACGACUGCUGAAUCUUUUUUUUUUUUCCUUUUCGAUUAUUACACAUUUUAUGCAGAAGGUGGAAUGAUAGGAAAUGUCAGUUACUGCAUUUUUCCCUUAUAUGUUUUUUUUUUCCAACGAGUAACAAAAGAAUUAAGUCUUUUGUGAAGGAAAUUAAAAAGUGUGAGAUAGAAAAAUAUUGACUUUAGAAAAAUGUGAAGGGGAUGAAUGAAGGGCGGGGGGGGGGGGGGGGGGGGUUACCUUGUCUUUUAAAGAGAAAAUAAAGUGUUCCGUUUUUUUAAUCAGAGUCCAAAAAAAACAAAACAAUUACAAAAGCAGCAUCAAUUUAAAAACAAUUCAUUCCAUAGAUCACAGCAGCACAGGCUCCGCCCCCGUGGGGGGUUUUUGUUACUUGUCUCGUACGGAAGAGCUUGAGUGGACACCGACAAACUGAAUCACACCUGUUCUGGACCUCUGACCUGGACCAGACCUGUGGGAACAUCAGCC